GUUCUUUCUUUGGCAGCAUAUAUACUAGAAUUGGAAUGAUACAUAGAUUAGCAUGUUCGCUGUGCAAGAAUGACACAAAUAUGUGUGUUCCAUGUUUUC
ensembl:snRNA U6 U6 spliceosomal RNA